GACGAACGCUGGCGGCGUGCUUAACACAUGCAAGUCGAACGGAAAGGCCCCUUCGGGGGUACUCGAGUGGCGAACGGGUGAGUAACACGUGAGUAACCUGCCCUUGACUUCGGGAUAACUUCAGGAAACUGGGGCUAAUACCGGAUAGGAAUCCUUGCUGCAUGGUGGGGGUUGGAAAGCUUCGGCGGUUUUGGAUGGACUCGCGGCUUAUCAGCUUGUUGGUGGGGUAGUGGCUUACCAAGGCUUUGACGGGUAGCCGGCCUGAGAGGGCGACCGGCCACAUUGGGACUGAGAUACGGCCCAGACUCCUACGGGAGGCAGCAGUGGGGAAUAUUGCACAAUGGGCGGAAGCCUGAUGCAGCAACGCCGCGUGCGGGAUGACGGUCUUCGGGUUGUAAACCGCUUUCAGCAGGGGCGAAGCUUGUGGUGACGGUACCUGCAGAAGAAGCACCGGCUAACUACGUG
rnacentral:rRNA from 1 species